rnacentral:tRNA from 1 species
AAACCCGUGCCUUAAUGGGUAAGGUGUUUGACUUCUGAUCAAAAUGUCAUGGUUUUGACCCUCGGGUUGG